GACGAACCGUGCGAACGUUGUUCGGAUUCACUGGGCUUAAAGGGCGCGUAGGCGGGCGGUCAAGUCGGGGGUGAAAUCUUUCAGCUUAACUGGAAAAGUGCCUCCGAUACUGAUCGCCUCGAGGGAGGUAGGGGCAUGUGGAACUUCCGGUGGAGCGGUGAAAUGCGUAGAGAUCGGAAAGAACACCAACGGCGAAAGCACUCUGCUGGGCCGACACUGACACUGAGAGACGAAAGCUAGGGGAGCGAAUGGG
rnacentral:rRNA from 1 species